rnacentral:rRNA from 1 species
GACGAACGCUGGCGGCGUGCUUAACACAUGCAAGUCGAACGCUGAAGCUUGGUGCUUGCACUGGGUGGAUGAGUGGCGAACGGGUGAGUAAUACGUGAGUAACCUGCCCUUGACUCUGGGAUAAGCCUGGGAAACUGGGUCUAAUACUGGAUACGACAUGUCACCGCAUGGUGGUGUGUGGAAAGGGUUUUACUGGUUUUGGAUGGGCUCACGGCCUAUCAGCUUGUUGGUGGGGUAAUGGCUCACCAAGGCGACGACGGGUAGCCGGCCUGAGAGGGUGACCGGCCACACUGGGACUAAGACACGGCCCAGACUCCUACGGGAGGCAGCAGUAGGGAAUAUUGCACAAUGGGCGGAAGCCUGAUGCAGCGACGCCGCGUGAGGGAUGACGGCCUUCGGGUUGUAAACCUCUUUCAGCACGGAAGAAGCGAAAGUGACGGUACGUGCAGAAGAAGCGCCGGCUAACUACGUG